rnacentral:snoRNA from 1 species
CCCACCACUGCAUCUGAUCAGUUCCUUGUUGGAUGGUGCAAUCCAGUGGUGAGCUGAUAGUAGACCCUGGCUUAGGAAACAGGGUUGUUCUUCAUAUGGAUAACUGUGCCAAAAACAUGGGGACAGCC